CAAAGUAGUUUUGGGUGGAAUGGACAAGGUGGUACAAAUAAUUUAGCUCCCUUCAAUCCAAACUCAGUACUUAUUAGUCAAGUAAAUCAGGUUCCAUUUUAUUCUCAAGUCAUGAAUCAUGGUGUAUCCUAUUUUGAAUUGCUACAGGCACAACACCAUGUAAAUGAUCCGUCAUCGUCAACACCACGUGAAUCAUACAGAGGCGAAGUGAAUGAUUAGUCAUUUUGAUAUUAGUUAGAAGCAAAGCAUUGCUUUUGAAAUAUUAAUUGUAUGCCUUUAGCAUAGGAUU